AUUCGAUUAGAGUUUGAUCAUGGCUCAGGAUGAACGCUGGCGGCGUGCUUAACACAUGCAAGUCGAACGAACCUUCGGGUUAGUGGCGGACGGGUGAGUAACGCGUGAGAAUCUGCCCUCAGGAGGGGGAUAACGGUUGGAAACGACCGCUAAUACCCCAUAUGCCGAAAGGUGAAAUGAAUUUCGCCUGAGGAUGAGCUCGCGUCUGAUUAGCUAGUUGGUGAGGUAAUGGCUCACCAAGGCUUCGAUCAGUAGCUGGUCUGAGAGGAUGAUCAGCCACACUGGGACUGAGACACGGCCCAGACUCCUACGGGAGGCAGCAGUGGGGAAUUUUCCGCAAUGGGCGAAAGCCUGACGGAGCAACGCCGCGUGAGGGACGAAGGCCUCUGGGCUGUAAACCUCUUUUCUCAAGGAAGAAGAUAUGACGGUACUUGAGGAAUAAGCCACGGCUAAUUCCGUGCCAGCAGCCGCGGUAAUACGGGAGUGGCAAGCGUUAUCCGGAAUUAUUGGGCGUAAAGCGUCCGCAGGCGGCCUUUCAAGUCUGCUGUUAAAGCGUGGAGCUUAACUCCAUCAUGGCAGUGGAAACUGAUAGGCUUGAGUAUGGUAGGGGCAGAGGGAAUUCCCGGUGUAGCGGUGAAAUGCGUAGAUAUCGGGAAGAACACCAGUGGCGAAGGCGCUCUGCUGGGCCAUUACUGACGCUCAUGGACGAAAGCCAGGGGAGCGAAAGGGAUUAGAUACCCCUGUAGUCCUGGCCGUAAACGAUGAACACUAGGUGUCGGGGGAAUCGACCCCUUCGGUGUCGUAGCUAACGCGUUAAGUGUUCCGCCUGGGGAGUACGCACGCAAGUGUGAAACUCAAAGGAAUUGACGGGGGCCCGCACAAGCGGUGGAGUAUGUGGUUUAAUUCGAUGCAACGCGAAGAACCUUACCAGGGUUUGACAUCCUGCGAACCUCUUAGAAAUUUGAGGGUGCCUUCGGGAAUGCAGUGACAGGUGGUGCAUGGCUGUCGUCAGCUCGUGUCGUGAGAUGUUGGGUUAAGUCCCGCAACGAGCGCAACCCACGUUUUUAGUUGCCAGCAUUUAGUUGGGCACUCUAGAAAGACCGCCGGUGAUAAACCGGAGGAAGGUGUGGAUGACGUCAAGUCAUCAUGCCCCUUACACCCUGGGCUACACACGUACUACAAUGCUACGGACAAAGGGCAGCAAACUCGCGAGAGCUAGCAAAUCCCAUAAACCGUGGCUCAGUUCAGAUCGUAGGCUGCAACUCGCCUACGUGAAGUAGGAAUCGCUAGUAAUCGCAGGUCAGCAUACUGCGGUGAAUACGUUCCCGGGCCUUGUAGA
rnacentral:rRNA from 1 species